UACGGAGGGUGCAAGCGUUAUCCGGAUUCACUGGGUUUAAAGGGUGCGUAGGCGGUCUUAUAAGUCAGUGGUGAAAUCCUAUCGCUUAACGAUAGACGUGCCAUUGAUACUGUAGGACUUGAGUACAGAUGCCGUUGGCGGAAUGUGUCAUGUAGCGGUGAAAUGCAUAGAUAUGACACAGAACACCGAUUGCGAAGGCAGCUGACGAAACUGUAACUGACGCUGAGGCUCGAAAGCGUGGGGAUCAAACAGG
rnacentral:rRNA from 1 species